rnacentral:lncRNA from 1 species
GGAUCAUACACAUAGCAACAGAUUAUAUAGUAUCUGAAAACAUAAGUAAAGAUUUAUUAAUCGUAAAAGAAAAAUAUACACUGUCAUAUCACAUCAAUUUUGAGAGCCAAAAAUGAUGGUGAUGGUGUUAGGAGGAUUUGGAAAUCAAGGGCUACAUUUGCAUUUGUGAAAUACAUACAACUUGGUAACGUAAAGAUCAAAUAUCAUUAGCCUAGAUAAUGCACCAAUUUUGAGAGGCCAAAAUUAUUAUAUUGGUGUUAGGCCUUGUAGCUUACCUUAGACAUUAUGAUGAGAUGAGCGCCUGUCAUUCCUGGCAUGCAGUCAUCUGUAAUGAUGAAAUUCACAUCUACAUUCGGUAGAAAGAGCAGGGCAAUUGAAUUAGAUAUUGAUAGAUACAACCUGUAGAAAGAGCAGGGCAAUUGAAUCAGAUAUUGAUAGAUUAAAGCUACAUAAUCACACGCAGAAUAAAAAGUAAGAAAACCACCCAACAUGAAACAAUAAACACCUGAUGAUGAUUGCUUGGAGACCAAAAAGAGCUUUUGGGAUGUCACUUUGAUCCUCUUCAUCAUUCGAACUCAAACAUAUUAAAGCUUUACUUCCAGAAUCUACAGCAAUAAUUGCAAGAAUAGAAGAAACCUAGAAGAUUCAGUAUUUGGAAUCCAAAAAUGCAAUCCUUCUAUAUGAUCCUAAUAAAUUCGCAAACUGGUAGAUACUGAAUGCAAAAUCUGUGAACUCAAAACGGAGCUGAAACUAGAAAAAAGAACCUGCUGCGGGCUAGAAAGUUGUCUUAGUUUAUGUUCAUUUUUCAAGAAUUUUGUGGUGGUGUAGUGUGGUUGAUAAAAUAGCAAUAGGACACGCAAUAUAUGUAAAAAAACAUUACACCGUUACAAAAUGGUAGAUGUGAUUUCUGUAAGAUUGCCUGUAGCUGGAGGCAAUCUCCCCACUUUGAGAACUCAACAAUUUCAUAUGCUUUGCUACAGAUAACUACAGAUCACAGCAUAACUACAGAUCACUCUCUUCUUGGUCACUGAAAUUAGUAAUCUUGGGACAGAAAUUUUGAACAAAUUUAUUCCAAAGCCAUGAAGAUCUUGACAAGUUUUUAUUUCUUUAAGAAUUGAAAGGAUUCCAACUUUGGGCUGUUUUCAACUUUGUGUCAAAGUAAAAAAGGAAGAAGAAGAGGAAACACCCACACCAAAAUCACAGUUCAGAUUAAGCUAAUUUAACACAACCACAGGAAGCCACAAAUACUGAUAUCUUUUUUGUCUUUCUUUCUUGUUUAGAUUAUGCAUGUAUAUUAUCAUCAUCCAACCUAAAUCUGAGUGCCUAUUCAUGAAAAGAGAAAAGAAAACCGAAGUCAAAUACCAGUAUGCUUUGCAAGGACAAUGAAAGAUAAAAUGAAGACAUCUUCAUAGACCACAACGUACCAUGGACAUGCCAUAAUCUGCUUGGGACCAAAAUCAUUAUAUCGCCACUUCAUACCAAUUUGCAGAUACACAGUAUUUCAGUAUAAACCAAUACAUCAAGUCACCACAUUUAACAAGUAGAAAGCUCUACAGAAACAUUUGAAGAACUUACCAUACAAAACCCCACAACCUUCAAAUUCGAAUUCAAAACAAAUGUGGCCAAAUACCUUAAGCACAUAUCACACAAAAAUGAAUAAUGAACAUACUUUCAGGGCUCAGGGGUUCACAUUCCCUGUAAUGCUCUGCAUUAGUCAAGAUUGCAGAAAUUUAGCUAAAUUGUGUACAGAGGCUCUCAGUAUGAAAUUUAGCCGGAAGGCUAUCAAAUCACAAAAGAAUGUAGGUUUCACCUUUUUUGGAGCUAAAGAAAAUAUGAUACUUUUUAUGAUAUGAAACAGUUGGUGCUUUAAUAAUUUUAAAGAUUAUUUGUAAAACUAAAACUGAUGGAGAUGUAUUGGUAAAUGAUCAUUGUUGUAAGGGUGUCACUGGUUAUUAUAAGAUGAUUUUCCAUUUACUGUCUAGUUUUACAUUUAGACAAUCACAUGAACAUGGCACAAUAAUUACACGUCGGUUUAAUACAGUUGAGGACAGUAAAAUGGCAAGGUCCUUUCUUAACCAAAAUUUAGUACUUCAGAGAAACUUGGAAAUAUGCACAAAGGAUAUACCAAUCUUGCGAAAGGAGACUUAAUGAUAAUGAUCUCAAAUGAUUAAGGGUUUAACAAAACAGAAAAAAAAUUUGAGAAUAAUUCCAACAAAUGAAACAUACACAGAGAAAUCAGCUUUCUAUCUCCCAAUGUUCUUAGCUUACUAAAUUAACUGAAUAACAGAAUUAAGAAUUGGAUAAAUAAAACUUCUUAAUUAAUUCGUUGGCUUCUGGGAAACUUUCAGUUCAAAAUAUCUUUCUAUGCACAGUGAAAAUUUUUAUAUCAGUACACUUAUAGAGGAAGCCUAUCACUGAUAAACUUCUAUUAAUUUCAAAAAAAUAAAAAUACAAUAAGCAUUUAGCAGAUGAGAGAUAUAUAAUAUAUUGAGAAUUGACAAUAUGAAAUGCAUAGUUAGAAGUAAAUAUGGAUGUGCUUCUCAGUAUGCAAAAUCCAGUACAAAAUACAUUUGAUUUGUUUACUGCCAAAGGUACAUUUACAAAAAGCAUCUCAAGGUUUUCAAAAUUUGAAACUUUUGAUCUUAUGAAACUUAACUUCUAAUAUACCCGUUUGAAGCUGCAAACUACCUGUAAAAUCCAUGGAUUACUAGAAAAAGUGACAUGCAAAGUACCAAAGCUUUACAAUAAUACUGAAUUAUCUCAUUAAUCACUAACAAUACAGUUGUUUGCAUUAUGAUUCUUAUCGAUUGAACAAAACUAGAAUCGAAGAAAAGCAAAAACUAAAAUCAAAGAUAAAAAAGAAAAGAAAAAAGAAGAAGCUGGUAGCAGAUUAAAAACGAUAAAAUGCAAACCCAGAACCGAAAAAGUGGAAUUUUAGAGCGUUAAGCAUACCUGGAAAACUGACCAACUGGAUAUCACCAGAAAACAACCAAAACCCAGAAUCAACAUUCCACACCGCCAUCAUCAAAUUGAACCAGGAAAAAAAAAAUUAACUUCAUCAGAGACAAAGCUUUGGAGGAUUCUAGUAAUUUGGGGAAAAAAAAGAAGAUAUAAAAAAAUUGAGGAAACUAGAUCAAAAAAUAGAAAUGAAAAGUAGCAAGAUUUGAUGUUUGCCUGAAUUGUUAGCGUGGAUAAAACCCCGUCUCUCUCUCUAUUUUCCACUCUGUGUAUGAACCUUCUCAUGAAGACAGAGUCACUCACACUCUCUCCAAAUUACCUCAGAGGAAGACAAGCUAGAAGCCUCUAGAACUGAGUGGCAGCUCCAAAUAUCAACAGGAAGAAGACAUAAUUAGAUUGGGGGAGGAGGGCACAUGCGGAAUUGCAUGACCCAAAAGUGAGGCCAAAAUCCGGAAAUACACUGUUUUUUACUGUUCCAUAUAAACAGUCCAAAGAAAAAUAGAUAUGUAGUAAAAACUAGAACGUUGCCCGCGCGCUGCGGCGGGUUGUAUAGCAGAUAUACUGCUAAACUUAGUAUUAUAAAGUUCAUAACAGAUAUAAGGCAAUGAUGAAAGCCAGGUUCAGCUAAUGACUUGAUUUUUAGAUAUAAGGCAAUUUGAUUAUGAAAUGAAAACCUAAACAGUUAAGUGCAGUCAUCAAGAUAAUCUUCCCAAUAGUUGAAAUCUGGACACCGCGAGAUAGAAGAUGAAGUGAUUCAGAACACCGUUACUUGUUACCUAGUCGUAAGUACCGACUCCAAUACUCAAACUCGUACUCCUUCAGUCGAACUUGUACUCAUUCUUCAGUUCAUUUCUUUACCUCAUGAUAAUCCAAAAAACAGAUACUUGAAUUAAUUUUGGUUUAACGAGAAAGGAUUGCUGAUCUAAAAGUGAAAACAAAAUUUCAGUUUGAAAGACGCAUUCCUUACCAGCUUUAUAGGAUCUAAACCCGAUUGUCUUUCCACUAAGAUCCAGAGCUGCACAUUAAUCACCAAAUAGAAUUUUAAGCACAGUUAAAGGCAAAUUCUAAUAGUUUUUUUUCUUUUUAACCUUUACAAUAUUAAAAACAAAAGUAAAGAAGCAAUCAACCUGUCCAAAUGAAAGGAAUAAAUUGCAAAGCUGAUACAGCGAUAGUGAAAUUGAAGAUCAUGACCUAGUUGAAAAAUCUAUGUUGAUAUGAAACAUUUCAGUAGGCAACUAUUCAUAUAUUCAAGUGCAUCUUACAUAUCGCAUCAAACAAACUUACUAUUCAUAUAUUUAAGUGCAUCUUACCUUUCCAAAGCAAACACCCAAUUUUUAACCAAUGUUCAUUGCACUAUCAAAUCCAUACAUAACCUGAAACCACAAAACUCACCAAAAAUUGAUGAGCAACAUGCUUUAAUACAAUAACUAUUUCCUUCACCUAAUAAACCCCCAACAUGAUUCUAAUUAAACAAUGACGAUGAGAUUUGAAAGAAAACAUUAUCAAUAAUUUUACCUGUAACCCGAAAAUCCAGAAUUGCCUUCCUUACGCUGCAAAUUUUGUCAAGAUCGGAAAGAGAUCAAAAACAGUUCGGAUUUCAAAAAGUGAGCAAAGAAGAUCAAAAUUCAAAUUCACAAUAUAAAAAACGAAAUAACAAACUCAGGAUAAGUAAGCACACCUGGAAAAAUAUAACCCCCUUACAGCCACAUACACACAGAGCACAACCUUCAAUCUAAAAUCCAAUUCCAAAACUCAUGCAGAACAACAGAGCAAACAGUUAAAGUAAAAAGGAAGCGAAAUACUUAUCAAAAUUAAGGAAACAUUCGAGUGAACCCAACAGCUUUUAAGUAAAACUGUUGCACAAUUCCUAAAUGUCACACUUCCCUUGGCAUGACUUGAUACAUGUACUAAAAUUUUAAGUAAUGAUUUGUGCAUAAAGCCACAAGAGCUUGAAAUAGAAGCUUUUUCCAAUUUUCUAUGUUCUUUCUGCUGAUUGGUUUGAUCCGAAUUCAGAAAUUGUUCGAUAUCAUUGAUAAUUACUAUCACAAAUCGGGUUUACAGACUUCAUAUCAAAAUUUCGUAUCUGAAGCAAAUGUCACAAAAGCCACCAAUGAAAUUAAAUCAUUAGUUCUGCCUGAAUAAAUAUUAAGAUUGUGAGAUUGCUCAAAACUACAAACAAAUCGACGGUAGCAGAAAUCAAUUACAAUAGAAAUAUGUACAUUCAAAACCCAUAACUCAUAAUCUCGCGUCCAUGAGACCAACAAAAACUCAAAGCAAAACACCCAUCCAAUACAUUGAGGCCAGUAGAGCAAAACACUCGGCAAAAUAACAAUAGGGCAGGUAAUUAUCAUCGGCAGCAACUCACAAUCACACAACUGAGAUCCAAACAGAUACCAAACCAAAAAGAAAAAAAUCCACCUAUAGUUGAAAUCUGGAAACCGAGAGGCAAAGGACGUAGUGAUUCAUCAUCUGCCAACAAAUCACAACCACACAACUAAGACCCAUACAGAUACCAAUCCAAAAUAUAAAAAAUAGAGACAAGUCCACCAAUAGUUAAAAUCUGGAAACCGCGAGAUAGAAGAUGAAGCCAUUCAGAACACCGUUAGUUGUUACCUGAUCGUAAGCUCGUACUCCUUCCGUCAAACUUGUACUCAUUCUUCAGUUCAUUUAUUUACCUCAUGAUAAUCCAAAAAACAGAUACUUGAAUUAAUUUUGGUUUAAGGAAUGGAUUGCUGAUCUAAAAGUGAAAGCAAAAUUCAGUUUGCGCAUUCCUUACCAAAUUUAUAGGAUCUAAACCCGAUUGUCUUUCCACUAAGAUCCACAGCUGCACAUUAAUCACCAAAUAGAAUUUUAAGCACAGUUAAAGGCAAACUCUAACAGACCAAAAUGAUAGUAGGAAAAAAGAGAGCACCUUUCCAGGAAAAGUGAGUGUAUUUGUGUGUCUCUGUUUUGUUUUCCUUGAAGGGAAGUAAAUCUUCUGUUUUGUUUUCCAUUAUAUUUGUGUCUCCUUGUCCGCCUCCUCGUUCUUUGCUUUUUGUCUUAAUAUAAAGCUGUUUUUUUUAUUAAAAAAUAUAUAUAUAUAUAUUUCACAUCCCACAUAGUAUGUAAUACUUAUAGGGAUGGUACCAAAAAGUCACCAUCAAAUAAUAUUACUACUCAUAUCAAAAUAUAUAUAUAUUACUGCAGCUAUAUGGUCCGUAUCUUGAACCUUCAUAUCGACUUAGUUGCCUCACACUGGUAAUACUCCAAAAAUGCCUCUUUUUUCAAUCUGAUAAACAUAUCAGUUCCUUCAAUUCUAUUACUUCAGAAACUAUCAUUUUGGUUGGAUGUCCACGAUUCUAUAAGAAUGGCAAUACAAAACUUCAAUACGACAUCAUUACCUGCUCCAAUUUCCUAGAGAACUAACUUUUUGACCAUGUAAGGCAUGCAAUAGAUAAUCACUUUUAAAUUAACAAAUGCAUGCGUAGAAGUUGAGUAGUCAUACCACUUUGUGCAUUCAUAUCUAAGGCGGAGAAUUGAGCCAACAGCCACAAAGAUCAGGAUUUCCAACAAAACUGCAAGAAAAAGUUUACAUUAGCCUAAAAGGAAAAAAAAAGCCAUGAAAAAGGAGUUGUGAUAACAACAACAACAACAGGUGGGCAUCAAUGAAGUAAGCUGAACCCUCAAUCAGCUGCUAAAAUUUUAGAAGCUUAGGAAAUACAACAUUAGCAUGUCUAACCUGUCAGGGAAGAACCUAGAGGUAUCUCAUGUUAGUAAUGAGACACAUUUCUGCAAGAAAUCAAUUUCAUGUUAGUAAAACUGAAUAAUACAUGGGCAAUCUUAUAUCAGACCGCGCUAAACAUAUAAAAAUAAUCAGAAUAUUCAAAAACAAUUACUCACAGCAUUGCAAGACUGAGGCAAUAGAUCAUCCCCUAAUAUGUUGUUGUGCUCUGACAAUUUUCAACAAUGACAACAGUAUCAAAAAGAAAACAGUACGUAAAUAUCCUAAACUUUGGACCACAAUCAAGGUUCUAAAAAACGUUGGGCGCUAGUCGGGCGGACAGCGCCAAAAAGAUUAAUCGGGGAUUAAUCGGUUUUCUAUUUUUGUAUAUUUUUAUAUUUUUUAAUACCUAGUAAUUAUAUAAAUAAAGUUAUAUAAGGCAUUAUAAUAUCUAAAAAUAUUAAAAAUACUCAAAAUAUAGAUAUAAUGUCUUUUUCUUAAUUUAUUUAUUCAGAUUUUAUAUGAUAAAUAAUUAAAAGUUAUAAUUAUUGAUCAAAAUUUUUGAAAAUUAAAUAAACUUGUUGGAGGUGAUAGGCCUAUAACCAUAUGUAAAGCCCAAGAGUAAAUGAGGUCUUUUUUAUCUUUAGUAGAACCCUAACAAUUAUACAAGUCUAACAACAUCAUCUUCUCUUCUGCCUCCUCCUUCUCUUUCUGUCUCCUUCUUCUCUUCUGCAGAUGCCCACCGUCCUCUGCUUCCUCUUCUCUAUUUGCUCUUCUCUCUCUAUUCUCUUCUUCUCCAUUUCAUUGCAAUAAAAACCCAGCAAAUUACAAAAAUAAUGAAGCCCAGACCUACAAAAAAAAAAAAAAAAAAAAAACUAGUCGGCGCUCUGCCCAGCCCCGCCCAUCUCCGCCCAGCCCGCCCAACCCUGCCCAGCUCCGCCCAGCCCCGCCUAGGCGGACACAAAACGGCCAGCCGACUACACCAGGCGAUUUGCCUGAAAUCAGGGCAGCUUAAGGGCUCCGGGCACCCAGGCGGCCACCUAGGCCGUUUUUUAGAACAUUGACCACAAUAGACAUGGUCACUUACAGUAAGAACAAAUUCUGCAGCUCAUAAGUACUUGAGGAAUCAAAAAUUUCACAGUUUGGAUAAAAUCAAGCUAUCCAUAUAGAUGCAACAGCAUGUAUACCAAACCUAAAACUCACUUUCCAAGCUUCACUUUUCAUAUCUAGUCAGUCCCAAUCCAUUUCAUACCAGCUCUCUAUAUUCGCAACCUUUCCAAAGCAAACACCCAAUUUAUAACCAAUGCACAUUGCACUAUCAAAUCCAUAUAUAACCUGAAACUUAGAUUAAGCUAAUUACUACACAAAUACUGAUGGCCUCUAUUUUCUUUUUACAUCAAAACUCUGGCCACAUAUGGCUUGUGAUUUAGAGUGUGGAAACAACCAUUCUUAUCUUAGGUAAGUCUUAGUGCAGAUCACUUCAUUCCGAACAUAACAUAAGCUGUUGAAAGUGAUCAUAUAUAGAAGAAUUAUGAAUUCAUGAAAUCAAGAAUGGUCUAAAAGUGAAAACAUUGUAAAAUAAACCCCGAAAAUGAUCCAUGAUCUUUGCUCUAUUUAUCGAGAUUCAAAGUAAAAUCAAACAGCGUUUGAAACAUAUCCCAAAAGUGUAGGCUGGAAACUCUAGUGGUUUUAUAAACAGUAAAAUUUUCAAAGGCAGAGGAAAAAGUAGGAUGAAAGUAGAUCAACCUCCUAAACUUGGUUUUCCAUUUCCUUGAACAAGGCUGUAUCUUUUCUCGCCUUAACAUGCCCUUUCUCGAUCUCAAUCUUGCCUCACAAAUGGUAGUUGUUGGCCUAUUUGUGAUGGAGCCUCCUUCUGCAGAUGUCACCAAUAUUUAAGUCAACAACGAUCAACCAAGUGGUACAACAAUUAUCAAUUGCUUUACUGAGCUAACAACUAAAAUAAGAUCAUAUCAAUCUCACACAAAAAAUUGUAAUUCAUUCACACAAGCAAGUCAAUGAAACAAUAAUUAAGUGCAGAUUACUAAAGAGAAAUGCUCUUUAACAGUUCAACAUAGACACUGCUGUUAUGUUUUUUUUUUAACAACGUCAGCUUCACAAAAACAAUGUUUCACCUGAGUUUAUUCGUGCCCCCGCGUUGCUACGGGUUUCAAAAGCUCAUUUCAGGUUUCAAGUCUUUGAUGUAUUCAUGCUAGUUUGAGUAGUAAGCUUUGAGGGCUAGACAAUGAAGUACAAUACUCCGAUUGCAUAUGAUUCGCAAUAUAUGUAGUAGAACAUGUCGUAUUAAUAUGGCCACCAGCACUGACGUUCUGGUAGCGUUAAAAAGUAUAGGUGUUACAGAUUAAGGGUAACUUUUAUCAUCCUUCUUAGCAAGGGAAAGGAGGUCGUCCUUUGAAAUCUUGGCAUUCUCCAAGCCAACUCUUCCAUCUCCAAGAGAUUUCUCUUGAACAACAAAACAAAAGAAAAUGAAUUGAAUAAUCCAGUAAACAAAUGAUCCAAUUUAUUAAUUAAAGAUAAGCAAUUCAUAAGUUCUCAAAUCCACACGUCCCAUUAGAACUCUAAAUCCCUUUUAGAGUAACUAUUUAAUACAACAAUUAUCUCUUUUAGAGUAAAGUUUGACUUCUGUACAUGGGAAGAAAUCGCGCUAAACAAACAAAUUUGUCUUUACCAAAAUGUUAGUAACUUGGAAGACUUGCCCGUAACUAAUGCUUUCCAUUUAUCACUACCAAAUUUAGCUUCCAAUUCAGCCACAUCAUUUGUCUAAAUAACAUUAGUCCACCAAAGGCAUUGAUACAUGAAAUUUAGCUCAAAGAGUAAACAAAUAGGAAUUAUCUAUAAUAUAGAGUCCUGUUAAAUAAGAUACUUUCUAACAUGAGUGUUGUGAAUUAUGAUCCUUGCUUUGCAUUUAAAAUAAAAAACACAGCCAGUUUACUGAAGAAAAAAAAAAAGAAUAACACUUAUUUUUGUUCCUCUUUACGUAUUAGACCAAUAAUUGGACCGGUAAACAAAGAAUGUCAUAAAGGCAUUUGACUGACCUCAAGAAACUUAAACAAAAGAGGAAAAGAAAUUGUCAAAAAUAGAUCAAAUACUUACAGACUACAAAUAAUUAACUGCACUAAUGCAAGUUUCACAUAUCAGAACUUACUAAUGCUUUUCAAGUACUAAUUGCACUAAAAGUACUAAUGUAUUACAGUAAAAGUACCACAUUGUGCAUGUUUCCUAACCCAGCCAUGAGUAGGAUCAAAACAUAAUGUUGGUUUUUUAUCUUACCUCAAAGAAAAGCUGGUCGGUCCAGGAACAUUGUCUCACCAGUCCCUUAAUGUUGCUUUUCAGGUACUCCUGAAUUGUUGCAAUAAAUGAAGGUGGUGGCUAUUUAGAGCAGAGAAAAAAAAUUGUAAGAGACUGUACUAUUUAGUAAGUGGUAUGAACUUAAACACUAAACAAAAACAAUUGCAACAGACAACUGGGAAUGAUACAAUUCAUAGGUGUCUACACUCACCUAAACAUCCAAAAGACAUCCAGUAUUCUAGUCAUGUAUCACUAUUGUAGGUAUUCACACGUCCCAGCCGCACCAAAAAGGGAUCAUACACAUGGCAACAGAUUAUAUAGUAUCUGAAAACAUAAGUAAAGAUUUAUUAAUCAUAAAAGAAAAAUAUAUACCGUCAUAUCACAUCAAUUUUGAGAGCCAAAAAUGAUGGUGAUGGUGUUAGGAGGAUUUGGAAAUCACGGGCUACACUUGCAUUUGUGAAAUACAUACAACUUGGUAAUGUAAAGAUCAAAUAUCAUUAGCCUAGAUAAUGCACCAAUUUUGAGAGGCCAAAAUUAUUAUAAUGGU